rnacentral:rRNA from 1 species
GGUCAAAUCACGCUGAAACACCGGUUCUCGUACGAUCACCGAAGUUAAGCAGCGUAGAGCCAGGUCAGUACUUAGAUGGGGGACCGCUUGGGAACACCUGGUACUGUAAG